rnacentral:rRNA from 1 species
AUGGAAAAGGUUCCUUUCACAAAAAGGGCUCUGAAAAAUUUGUGUGGUAAAAUCAGCAGAGAGCAAGCAGAGGAUGAUGUGAGGAAAACGAUGGAGGUUUUUGUAGAUCUGGGUUCAAGAGAUCCACACUUCACGUAUCGUGUCCAGGCGGACCAGGAUGGGUGGAAAACGACUCUUAUGUGGGAAAAUGGGAGUAGCAGGCUGCAGUACACAUUCUUCGGAGAUGUUGUUACCUUCGAUACGACAUAUAGAGCAAACUUGUACAACAUGCCAUUUGGUCUGUUUGUAGGUGUCAAUAAUCAUUUCCAGAGCAUCAUCCUAGCUGGGGUUUUGGUCCGUGAUGAGAAAGUUGAGACAUUUGAGUGGGUUUUCACAGAAUUUGUUAGGAUGAUGGGCGGAAGUGCACCAAAAACCAUUUUGACAGAUCAAAACCGAGCGAUGGAGGUCGCCAUUAAAAGUGUGAUGCCUCAAAUGGCACACCGAUGGUGCAAGUGGCAUGUGCUAAAGAAGGCGAAGGAAUCACUUGGCUUGUUGUACACCAAGAAGAGCGAGUUCAGGGCAGAGUUCCACAAGGUAGUAAAUCACAUGCUUACAAUCGAUGAAUUCAAGGAAGGUUGGAAGGUAUUGGUGGAGAAAUACAAUCUGAAGACACACAACUACAUGAUAUUUUAA